AUAACCUAUUUCAACCAAUAAUUUAUUUCCCUUCAUUUGCCCCAAGCAGAUAUCUACCCAUAAAGCUUCCACAUUUUCCUCGUCACACUCCACAUGCCUAAGAUUUGACUUUAACUCAUGAUUGACAUACAAACAUACCCCACCACCCUUCUUGUUUUUCCUAUCCUUCCUAAAUAACAUGUACCCAUUUAAGUUAACUGCCCAGUCAUGUGUCUCAUCCCACCAUGUUUCUGUUAUGCCUAUUUUAUCAUAGUGUUUAGUUUAUGCUAUUGUCUUUAGUUCCCCCAUUUUGUUAUUUAGGCUCCUUGCAUUAGUAAGCAUACAUUUAAUAUUUGCAUGAGUCAUUUGUACUUUUUUUGAAUUUUCAUCAAUACUACAUACCUCCUCUGUUCUGAACUCUCCCCUCCCCCCAUCUCCACCACCCUCAUGCUGAGCUAAAGACCAUCUCAUUUCUAUCCUAUCUCAAUUUUCUAGAUUGCUUUGACCCUCCCCCCUACUGCUAGUUUAAAAUCUCCUCCAACCUUAUAGCCAUCCUAUCCCCCAGCACAGCAGACCAUUUAGGUGCAUUCCAUCAUGACAAUACAGGUUGUACCCAAGCACAUUAAUAUGAUUAAUAUCAAUAUGGCUGUUUGUAUC